GAUGAACGCUGGCGGCGUGCUUAACACAUGCAAGUCGAACGAAGCACUCUAUUUGAUUUUCUUCGGAAAUGAAGAUUUUGUGACUGAGUGGCGGACGGGUGAGUAACGCGUGGGUAACCUGCCUCAUACAGGGGGAUAACAGUUGGAAACGACUGCUAAUACCGCAUAAGCGCACAGGAUCGCAUGAUCUGGUGCGAAAAACUCCGGUGGUAUGAGAUGGACCCGCGUCUGAUUAGCCAGUUGGCAGGGUAACGGCCUACCAAAGCGACGAUCAGUAGCCGACCUGAGAGGGUGACCGGCCACAUUGGGACUGAGACACGGCCCAAACUCCUACGGGAGGCAGCAGUGGGGAAUAUUGCACAAUGGGGGAAACCCUGAUGCAGCGACGCCGCGUGAGCGAAGAAGUAUUUCGGUAUGUAAAGCUCUAUCAGCAGGGAAGAAGAAUGACGGUACCUGACUAAGAAGCACCGGCU
rnacentral:rRNA from 1 species